AGCUCAGAGCCCUCUGUCCCCGCACGGGGCAGGAGAGGGGAGCUCCCAGCACCUCCCCGCAGCACCGAGGCUCAGCUCCAAGCUCAGGGAUUUCUUUCCUUUUUUCUCUGCCUUUGAAAGCUGCCGGCGGAGAUGUGAAGCCUACACAUACCCAGGGCCCCCCCCAGGCCCUUUCCAGCUGGAAAGAGGUGAGCAAUGCCAGCACAGCCCGCUCGGCUCUCAUACAAUCCCCAGCACUCGCUCCAGGUCUCUGCCGUCAGGAGGUGAGACCCCAUGGCCGGGGAGCCCCGCAUCCCCCCCAGCCUGCAGCGCUGGGGGCUGAAGGCCGAGGAGAAGACCCUGGACUUCGAGUUCGAGGUGCUGGGGGCUCAAUUCAACCGGCGGGGCCGCUACACCCUGCGGCUCAGCGUGGAGAACCCGCUGCUGCACGGCCCCACAGCCGGCGUCCUGCUGCGCAUCGGCAGAGGCACCGCCGUCCCCGCCAGCACCGGCACCACCGACACGGUGGAGCAGAGCCACCUGGAUGAGGUGUGCUCCUUCCAGCGGAGGAAAUUCACCUUCACACUGCCCAGAGGUUUCUGCAAGAACGACAGGAACCACGACGUGCGGCUGCGCAUCGAAGCCCUGCACUCGCCCAGGAGCCCAGCGAGGAAGAGGAAGGUGGGCGAAGCCUUCUUCGCCAUCUACCCCCGGCCCCCCCAGCCUCGCACGAAGCCCCCAGCGGGGCGGGAUGAGGACUGGUACCUGCUGCAGCACAGUGGCGGCUCUGCUGCGGGUGGGCAGCGAGCAGCCGGCCAUGCACUGCGGCCGCCUGGCCUUUGUGGCUGCCCUGCACGAGCACCGGCCACCCGCCACGAGGUCCCCACCGCUGUCACCCCAAGGCCAGGAGAGGGGGCAGCAAGAGGGGGACGCAGCCCCAGCACCCACGUCCCCAGCCGUGCCGUCCCCUGAAGUCCCCCUCCGCACACCCGAGUCCGCUUACCACUCGCUGCCCACAGAGAUGCCGCAGGCUGACCCUGCGCUCAGCUCCUCCCCGGAGCUCCCGGGUGACUCAGCAGGCGAGCAUCCCUCCUCCUCCUCCUCUUCCUCCUCCUCUUCCUCGGUGCCACCGCUCAGCUGCAGCAGUUUCCGCCUCUCCUCGCCAGGAUCCAGCCCGGAUCUGACCCCGUGGGCAGCGCAGGUUAGUGCAGGAGCCGGAGGAGAUGCCGUCCUGGUGCCUGCGGUGACCUGUUGGGGUGGGGACCUGGGGCUGCGGGCACUUUGGACACCUUCUGAUCACCGGGAGCUUCCUAGCAGAGCUUUGCGUGCUCGUGCAUCCCUGGGUGUCCCAUCCCCAGCUCCACUCGUGGGCACGAGGACCCCAGCCUCAGCAUGGGGAUGGGAGGACGGGGCACCAAACUUGACGUUUUUAGCAAGAAGACGCAGCCCCGUGGGCUGGUGUCACCCGGGCACGGUGUCACCCUGGGCACCGAAGCCCUUCAAACUACCAGCUGCUGGCAGCUGGGGCUGAUAAAUCCCAGCUACUUCGUCUUCCAGCUCAAACCCGAAGCUGCAGGGCGAACUGUCAGGAUUAACAAACCCGGCGGCUGCACCUCGCCCUGCGUCACCGUGCCCGAAGCUGUGCAAAUAAAGGAGGGAAGGCAAACCCUCCCCGAGGGGCUCCGUUUCCGCACCACCCCGGUGCUGAGGCUGCUGCCUCGCCCGCUCUCAGUGUCUCACACCUGUGAAAACAUUUCGUGGGAAGGCUCAGGACCACAGACGGGCUCUGUUCCUCUGAUCCCUGGGGUUCCGUUCGCUUUCCAACCCCCUGCUCCCCAUCCUGAGGCUGCCCCGGGGACACCUCUCCGUGCAUUACAGCCCCUCGCCCUGCACCGCCUUGGGGCUCUCCUUGAAUUUUCGAGGCCCCGUUUAACCAAAAACCUACCAGAAAUGAUAAUUAGUGAGGCUCGAUUGACUUUGCUCAGCAAAUAUCUAGAUGGAAAUUCUGCUGAGUGGUGAAAAGGCGGCGGAGAUCGAUAGGGGUGGGAGUGGGCUGGGGCAGGGCAGGGGCGCGAGGCAUCAGCAAAGGCAAUUUCCCCCCUGGCUCCUGGGCCCCCGGGGGGAAUGCAGCGAGCUCCGAGCUCCAGCGGUGAUAAAUCACCUGCUGCUGAUGUCAGCCUGGAAGUAUUUGCGGGGAUGGGGUUUAUUUAAAAACUGAAAGCUGGGAGGCAGGAGUGCGUUAAUUCCUGGCAGGGGAUGGAGGGGAUCCCGGAGUCCUUGUUCCAGAGGUGGGGCAGCGACCUCAUCUCGUGCCUCAGUUUCCCCCUGAGAGCAUCUUUAAUGCCCCGCCUGCCCCCAAGGGUCCUAGCUGAGAAGAAACCCACAGAUAGGGCUGAGUGGUUUGGGCAGAAAGGAGUCAGGGGGUGCAAGGAGGGGGCAUUGCUGGGGUCCUUGUCAUGGAGAGGAACCUGCAGGUCUUGGGGUGCAGGGCCCACUGUAGGGCUGCUGCUGAACCCUGAGUCCCAAAAAAUCCUGCUCCAUGUGGGGGGCGUCUCAGGGGGUUGAACACAAGUGGGACCAGGCUGGUGGCCGUGAUGGCUAUAGGGUUUGUGGGUGCUGCUCUGGCAGCCGGCAGCACCUCCGGAGGCCGGAUGGAGGGCAGAGGGUGCGAGCCGGGCGCUGGGCUGUCGCCUCGAUCCCGUUUGCUUUCCUAAAUGCCAAGGACACGUGGGCUCGCCCCGAUGGGAGAUCUGCUCCUCCACACCGUGCCAAGCAUCUCAUCUGCGGGAUGCUGGGGUGAUGGAUGGGUGCUGAGCUCCUCCCGAAAGGCCACGGCACGGCGAUAACGAUUUGCUCAUCUCCCCGCAACCUGCGGCUAAUGUAUGCCCCGGCACGCACGAAGCAGGAGGCUGUGCUGCCUGUUCAAACACCUCGAGCACGUCGCAGGGUCAGAUGGCUCCCUAAUUGUCCCCGGGCUCGGGCACGGCACCCGGCAAGCUAAUAACAUGCCACGGGCGAGCUCUCAGCAUCCCGGGUGGGCGAGGAUGACCCAACAGCACCAUCCCCAGGGGUGCCAUCCCCAGCCAGCCAGGAUGGGGCCAGGCUCCCCAGGGCUUUGCAGCAGACCCCAG
rnacentral:lncRNA from 1 species